GACCGGGUUUUAGUAUAUACGAGUUUUUUGAAAUAAAAAAAGCAAUACCGCCCUCUUGUUCUAUCAAGAGGGCGGUAUUGCUUUUUUUAUAUUUCAGACUGUUUUAGAUAAACAAAUUUUUUUGAAUGAUCAAAAAGGAAUCCUUUGAAAUAAAUAAAAUAAAAUUGGCGG
rnacentral:misc_RNA from 1 species